AACACAGUUUAGGGGUGUUGCAUCGCGUUGACUAAGUGCAUGUCGCGGCGGUGCGGCUGAGAACAGACCCUCGAACCUGAUCCGGAUAAUGCCGGCGGAGGAAAGACUAUGAAAACACAA
rnacentral:ncRNA from 1 species